CUCAGUAUUGUAAACUACAGUUGUCAAAGGCACCUGCGUCUCCCAGCGUUUACCAACAUUUAGAUUUUGUGUUAAAGAAAAAAGAAAAAAAGAAUUCACUGGUAAUCUUCUGAGGAGUUAAACCAGAAGUAGAUCUGGAAAAUAUGUUAACCAGUCUUCAAAAGUAUUUCCGUUCCCGGAAGUCUUCACACCCUUUGUGACUAUGCCUUUUGUGACAUUUCCACACAUGUGACCUUCACACUCACCACGUUGAUUCCAACAGACAAGUCGUGGUCAGGGUUUUAUAGAGAUGGUAAGCAGCUUGGCUAAAGGUUACUACUAUGAAGGCUCAGAGGGGGAGACCGAGUGCUCUCGCUGAAGCGAAUUCAGAGGAGUUACUCAUCUUGUAUGCAUUUCCGUGGAACCUCAUCAUCAGGUUUUCUUAAGAAUUGGCAGUCUCCAUCCACUAAAACACUGAACACUGAAAAGAAACUGGAGUGCACAGAGUGAGACGUCCAUAAGCCUCUGCUUCCCGAGCUCCAGGACCUGAGGCGGCGCCAGGACUGGUCCCCGGGGCCCCAGGCGGGGGGCUGGCCCGGUCCUCCAGUGGGUGGCUGGGAGCUAAGACCCACCUUUUAAAGGAAGGAAAGAGGAUGACUGGAUGACAAGGUCUGUUUUGUCAUGUUUUCUACUUAUAAGUGAAACCACGUUCGGAGAAAAUUUGUGACCGUA